UACGUAGGGUGCGAGCGUUGUCCGGAAUUAUUGGGCGUAAAGAGCUUGUAGGUGGCUCGUCGCGUCGGGAGUGAAAACCCGCGGCUUAACCGCGGGCCUGCUUUCGAUACGGGCGGGCUAGAGUGCGGCAGGGGAGACUGGAAUUCCUGGUGUAGCGGUGGAAUGCGCAGAUAUCAGGAGGAACACCGGUGGCGAAGGCGGGGCUCUGGGCCGAUACUGACACUGAGAAGCGAAAGCGUGGGGAGCGAACAGG
rnacentral:rRNA from 1 species